rnacentral:rRNA from 1 species
UACGUAGGGUGCGAGCGUUAAUCGGAAUUACUGGGCGUAAAGCGUGCGCAGGCGGUUCGUUGUGUCGGCGGUGAAAACCCCGGGCUCAACCUGGGAAUGGCCGUUGAAAAUGGCGAACUGGAGUGUGGCAGAGGGGGGUGGAAUUCCGCGUGUAGCAGUGAAAUGCGUAGAGAUGCGGAGGACCACCGCUGGCGAAGGCAGCCCCCUGGGCUGACACUGACGCUCAGGCACGAAAGCGUGGGGAGCAAACAGG